UAGUUUUUUUCUUUGUUGUUUUUAAAGUUUGGAUAACAUUAAAGAGAUCAAAUUUUUGAAUUAAAUUUGUAAAGUAACUGAUAUGUCACAAAUAAAAAAUAAGCAUGUUAAUCGAUACUUAAUUAGUAAUUCAAUUAUCUAUAACCACAUUAUUUGAUUUACAAAUUUAACGUUACCCUUAGGGUAUGUUUGUUUGCCUUCACUAGCAUUCCUUGGACUGGACUAGACUAAAUAAUAGUCCAGUCUGGUGUUUGUUAUUUACACGGACAAGCGUUAAUGAGACUAAAGAGGACUCGCCCCGACUGAACGCCUCGCUAGCCGUUCUUAGCGAGAGCCCUCGAUUUCGAGCAGACUCCUAGUCCCGUCCUCCGCUGAUCCAUCCGUCUUCUUCUCCUUCGUACCUUUGCCAUCUCCCAUCUCUUUCACGACUUCGCCGUCUCAUCCGAGUUCGAGCAGGACGAGGAGGUUCUCAGCGACGACGGAGAGGCCUCUUUUGACCUCAAACUCUUCGUGGGUAACCUUCCCUUCAGCGUCGAUAGCGCUCAGCUUGCUAGUAUCUUUGAGAGCGUUGGAAAUGUCCAGAUGGUCAAGGUAAUUCCUUGUUUUCACUCGAAAUUUUGUAAAUUUUACUUGAAAUUUGGGUGAAAAGUGAAAUCGGUUGUUGCUGGUUUAGUGUUUUGUGGGUUAAAUUUGGAAGGUUUUUAGCAGGUGAUAUAUGAUAAGACGACCGCAAGAAGUAGAGGAUUUGGGUUUGUGGCUAUGUCAAGUGUUCAAGAAGUUGAAUCUGCUGCUCGCCAGCUAAACGACUACGUAAGUCUGACCAUUUGCUGAUAUUUUCUUAUAUAUGCGAAAGUUUGUGAUUUGCGAAUUGGUACUUUAUUUGUAAUCGUAUUUAUACGAACGGGAAUCUAUUUUGAGAGAAAAUGGAAAUUUUUUGACAUUUUCUGCCCUGCAACUUCCAUGGCUGCUUGAGCCAAGUAGGAAUAGAGAACACAGUAAGAAGUCAAGUGGUAACUUGAUUCCUGGAAAGCAAUAUGUCAGUGUAAGAACACAGGCUCUAGUGACCAUUCUGUCCUGGUUGGCGAGAAAUGGUUUUGCUCCUACCGACAAUGUGGUCGUGUCUCUGGCAAAAUCAAUAAUUGAACCACAUGUUACCAAAGAGGAAGACAUAGUGGGUUGCUCAUUUCUGUUGAAUAUGUUGGAUGCUGUGAGUGGGGUUGAAGUGAUAGAGGAGCAGCUUAGAACAAGGAAGGAUUACCAAGAAGUUUCUAGCAUCAUGAAUGUGGGGAUGACAUAUAGCUUGUUGUAUAGUUCAGCAUUUGAGUGUGAAGAUCCUACGCAAAGGAGGGAGCUGCUACUAAGGAAGUUCAAAGAAAAACACACAGGUAAUCGGCUACACUUAUUUACAAUUUGCUAUGCUAUCAUCUUAAAGCUCCAAGCAGUGGAAAUGUGAAAAAGAGUAAUAUUAUUGAUGCAUGUACAUUUUUACAAUGAUAAGGAGUUCAUGGUUUUGUAUGUUGUUUUAUUGGAUUCAGGUGAAAUAGGCAAAUUUGACAAGGUGCAGUCUACCUUUUGGAGGGAAUGGAAAUUAAAAUUAGAAGACCAAAAGCGUGUUGCAGAUCGUUGUACAACAUUCGAGAAAAUAAUCCCUGGUGUUGACACGGUACGCUUUUAGUCUUAGGACUUUGAUUAUAUUAAGAGUGUUGUGCGUCCCUUGAUUGAUUCAGUCAAGUUAGAGAAUAAGCACAUUUUGAAGGAUGUUUUAACAUUAGCUGAUGAAUACCACUUGAACCGUUCACAGGUAGGCAGCUUUGUAGGCUUACAUCUCUGAAUUCUAUAACAUAGAGAUGGCUUUUUCCCCCAUUAAGUGAUAGUGAUCUAUUGUUUCCUUGCAGAUCUUUUUGUGUUAUUUGAGUUCUGUCAUUGUUUCUGAGGUUUGGACCAAUGAUGAUAUUACUUGUGAAAUUUCGGAAUUUAAAGGUGAAAUAGUUGGCUAUGCUGUGGAAACCAUCAAAGCUGUUUCAUAUAUUGUAUACCCUGCAAUUGAUGGAUGCCAUAAGGUGCGGCUUGCUUACAUCUUUGGUCUGCUUUCGGUGAGAUCAGACUCAGCCAUCGUAGUAGAGUCAUAAAUGGCAGUUUUGAUGCAGCAAGUUGUUACAUGUGCAGGCACCAACUUGCUUGCUAGAGCAACAAAAGGCAUGUUAUUGAUUCAAUAUAUUUUAAUUGUUUGUAACUGUAUGUUCAUGUAAGGAGUCGACUCAGAGGAACUGUAGUGCAGGAGUACUAUCGUAUUCGUGUAGCCUAAACAAGCUUGUGUUUUAGUCUAGUCAGUAAAUUAGUUAGAAUAGCAAAAUUUUGUCUGCUCAUAACAUUUAAAUUUACAUUCCCUCAGCUAAAACUUUUUGCUUCACUUUUGACAAUCCUUUGCUCCAAACGGUGUGUAUUUUGCUCGAGGUAUAUUCAUGAUCUCUUCCUUUUGCAUAUUGUUAUUGGUUUUCUUCAAACUAGUUGGAGCAAGCAAUUUACGUGCUCAAAUCCAAAUGUAGCAAUGAUCAAGGCUCGGCUAUCCAUUUGCCAUUGCGCCUCACACAUCAUUGUGGUCUUGGGAUUGAAUGCAAUCAAACCAAAGUUGAAUAAUUAAGAAAAGCAUUCUAAAACCCGUCAAUUGUUAGGAAAACACGUUUGUUAUAUUGAUGUUUGGAGCAAUACUACUCUUGAAUCAUGUAUGUUUCUUUCGUUGGCAAGAAAUUUGGUUUUGUUUUUAUUUUUUAUUGAGUCAUACUCUUAUCUAAUAUUAUUAAUUUUGAUAAUAUCUUUAAAUAAAAAGAAAUUAAAUUAGAAUAAUAAUUUAGUCUCAGUCCGAGCAAACACCAAACUGGUUACAAUACUAUUUUCAUUAUCAUGCUUCUUAAUCCGACACUGCACCAAACGCUUCACUAAGUUAGUCCAGCUUAGUCUAGUCUAAGCCAGUCCAGCUUAGUCCCUGAACCUAGUCCAGUCCGAGAUAGUCCGGUGCAACAAACGCACCCUUAAAGUUUAUAUGGAUUUAGCUUUGUCAACAAGUAUAGAUGAAAACUGCCUAUUGACAAAUUAAUAUUUAAUUAAAUGCGCGUUGCUUUUCGUUUAAACUAUCCAAUAUACAAUAAUUUCCCAAAUGUCAUGUUCAAUGGUCUCUUUCACAGUGGGACCUCGAAUUCAUGCAACGCGGCAUGAGAAAUAUUUCAAUGUGUGCAAAACAGAGACACAUACGUUAGAUGACACUGUAUAAGUUUAUGGACAUUUAGAAAAAAUUAUCUUUAAUUAUAUGAUAACAUAUGACAUACUAUCUUUUGUUCCGAACACAUUAAAAAAUCUUUCAUGCAAUCAAGGAUUUAAAUAUUAUUUGAUAUAUGAAUAAUAUAAUUACUUUCAAGUCUUGCCACACAAAAGCACACAAAGUAUCAUCACGCAUUAAAAAAAAGUUUGACAAUUUUGAAGAGAAUAAUAGCAUACAGUAACUCUAGUAUAGUUUGGAUCAAUCAUACGCCCCUCGGACCCAAUCCAAUUUGUGUGGCUCACCACCCACACAAAAGAAAAGGAUAUGAGACUAUAGUUGAGAGAUCAUGGACAGGAUGAACAAAAUUUGAAUGGCCAUGUGCUUUGUUCCACUACCAAAUGACAACCCACUGACAUAUUUAGGUUUGUUGUGAAAAUUAUUAAAAAUUGUUGAGAAAUUCAUAUACAAAUAGAAGAGAGAAUUGAGAAGAAGAAAAGAGUUGAAUUUCAUACUCAAUUCUAGUGUGUAAGAAUGAUACAAACGCUUUUUUAUAAGAGGUUUUUCAUCCAAUAGAAAAUUGUGGCAAAUUAUUUAUUUUACAGUCUACGAAUGAAUAGUGACUUUCCUGUUAAUGAACAGUAAAUCAUCCAAUUAUUCUUCCCAUGAGGUUUUUGUCUUUUUAUUUUUGAAUUUGGGACCUAUAUGGGCCAUCCAACCUUCACAACACGCCUCUUUUGAUGACCAUAUACCAAUGUGGAUUGCCUCAUUAAAAUCUUACUUGAAAAAACCCGGUGGAAAACAAUCAUAGCAAAAGAAAAAGAGAACAACUUUUUUUGGAUCAUUGAUAUUGAAUGCAUUUUUGUUGCCUCAUUAAAGUCUUGCUAGGAAAAAUCCUAGACGAAAGAAGAAGAGUACAACAAGCACGUGUCUUGGAUGCUCUCCCUGAUGAGUAUUUCCUCCUGAUUCAUGCAUUCUUCAAUUUGGCUAAUUACUAAGUCGACGUAAUCCGAUACCAUCAUCAACUUCUGAAAUGUAUAUUUCAGCAGAGAUUUGAUGAAUCGGUACACCACGUUAUCGUUGGAACGGAUUUGUCUUACUUCAAUAACUUUGUUCUUCUGAGCUCAUGUGUAAAGAAAAACUAUGGAGAUAUGAGUUCAAUCUUAUCGUCCUUUGAUGAAUCCUUGCUUCACUUGAGCAAUACAUGUAUUAUCUUCAUUAAUGAUAGUUGGAGCAUUUGUUUGUUUAAGAUAGACUACAUGAGUUUGGGUUGUGAUGGAUCACUAAUAUUAACCAAGAACAUUCACAACUAGCUUCAUGAAGAGCAAGUAUUCUGAAUGAUUAGAAGAUGUAGCAACUUGUGUUUGCUUCGGUUUGAGAACCAUGAGAUUGCUAUAUUUUCAUAAGUGAACACAUAUCUAGUUUCUGAAAGGGCUUUAUGCAAAUCAAAGAGAAAAUCAACAUCUGCAUAUCCAACAAGAUUUCAGCUAUCUGUGGGUUUCUCGAAAUAGAGUAGGCUCAUGUCUAUAGUCCCACAUAGCAUAUUUGAUUCUCUAUCAAUGUCGAAUUGUUGGAGCAUAGUUAUAUAUGCUACUAACAAAUUGACUAAAAGCUAUACAUUGUGUAAAGUAUAAUAAAACACAUAUUUCACUAAAAUAUGGUACUUCUGAACCAAGUAUCAAUUCAUCAUUUCCCUCACGAUGAUGAAUGAUCUUUCUUAGCAUCUAAAUAUUGGUUAACCCUUUGGGUGUUCAACUUAUAAUCUUCAAUCCACAUGGUUCUUUAAUACCAUAGUACUAUUGGUGGAUAAAUAUCGUGUUGGCAUAUUGUUCGAUCUACAACUAGAGACAAUAUGUCCUCAACACUUUAUAAUCUUUCUAGACUCUUUAGGAGUUCCAAUCUAAUAUCAUUAACUCUUGUAAAAGAUUUAAUAUGUUGCAACAAUAUCAUAAUGAUAGUAGGGGUGGGCAAACGGGUACAGGAACCGCGGUUCGGGGCAAGUAUGGGAUGGGUCCAAAAAUUAUAAAUACAAAAUGGGAUGGGUACAUGUAAAUAACGGGGCGGGCCGGUUCUAGAAAUUGGAAAAAAAGGGCCCUCGGCCCGAACCAUUGAUUUCCUACGUUGAUUUCCUACCGUUGAUUUCACCCUCUCUCUCUCUUAUUCUUGUCCGGGACUCCCAAGACUCCAUUCUAUUCUCAGACCCAAUUCACUCAACUCUCCCCUCUCUAGAUCUCUCCUCCUUGAAUCUCAUUUCCUCUCUCGCCGCCACCAUCGUCAUCAGACCUCUUUCUCUCAUCCUGAUUCGCUCUUGUCUUCCUCACUCCGUCCGCUACCAACAUCAUCAGGCCUCGAUCUCUGGCGACGCUUUGUUCGGAACUGAUUUCUGGUGACGUUUUGUGGUGCGCCGACGACAGGGUCAUCGAUGAGUUCAUGAUGGAACAGCCAAUCCCAUCGUACCUGUUCGCGUUCGCUGUCGACAAAGGGUUUGGGUGGUUCUUUCCGCUGGUGGCUCUGAAAAUGCUGAGGUACAUGAGCGCUACAUCAAUUAUCAUACACGACUGUGACGAGGUCUUCAACUAUUGGGAGCCUCUCCAUUUCCUUCUCUACAAAUCUGUUUUUCAAACUUGGGAAUACAAGUUCCCUUUUCAAUUCUCUUUCUUUUUCCUCUCUGAAAAAUUGAAACUUUGUUCUUUUUUUAGGUGUUUGUUUCUGGGUUUUGAUUGUUUGUUAUUUUCUGGGUUUUUUUUUUAUUUUGCUUGUUAUGAAAUUAUUUGUCUUUUUGGUUAUUUGAAGUUUAUUUUAUAUUAAAGAUGUUAAUAUAAUGCUAUGUUUGGUUAUAAUUUGUAGAGAACUAUUAAGCUCUGGAUUUAAUUUAUUGGGGAAGUUGGUUGUCGUUGAAAAGUUGAGUGCUUGUUAACGUACAAGAUUUUGUAGAGCAUUGCAGCUCAUGAACUAAUUGCAGCCUUCAGAUGAAACGAUGUGAUUUACUUCGUUACGGUAAUUUCCAAAAAAAAAAAACACACACACACACACACACAGAGGAUCCGUGUACCUGGCCCAUUUGAAAUAGGUUGGGUUAGGUCCAGUUCCAGUGAUCAGAUUUGCAAUACUUGGCCCAGCCCGUCUCGUUUCCUUUUUAAGCGAGUCUGGUUUGGUCCAUCCAAAUUUGGGUCGGGCCCAGCCCGUGCCCACCCCUAAAUUAUAGCACUCAUUAAGGCACUUUAUAUUAUCCAUGUUAUUGCUUUUGGAGAUAUGUUUCAAGUAUUUCAUAAGUUUUGUAUAAUAUAUAAUUCUCUAUUCAUACGAAAUGAACAUGUUUCACACUGGAAAAUCAUGUUUGUAGAAGUAUAUCACAAUUUCAGGUUUCAACUAAGAACCUUGUGUUAUAUCAUGUAAGUGUAUUUAAAUGGAUUACAAAUGCUUAUGUGUAACCUUUUGGGUUUGCUGAUGCACAAAACCUGAAGGGUUUUGGAACAACGUAAAUCCGACCGUGAAUCUGCAAGAAAGUAAAGAACACAAGAUGUAUCGUGGUUCACCCCCAAUGUUUGGGCUACGUCCACACUGAUGUUGAUAUUGUUUCACUCUGAAUGAUGAAUAUACAAGGAGCCUAGAGGCAGUGUGCUCUUUAGCCUAUUUUCUGUGUGCUCUCUUCCUAUGGCCUAAAACUUGGUUUCAAUCUUGGCCCUCCCUUAAUGAGGAGAGUGAAGAGUCCUUUUAUAGAAUAAGGGCUCCUCACUUAUUACAUAUUUUCCCCUUCAUUUAUGACAUAAUUACAUUUAAGUCCCCCGAGUAUUUAUACAAGGUCUAAAUACGGAGGCCCUAAGUAUGAUACAAAUAGUAGUCCCCCAAGUCUUCAGUCAAGAGAGUCUUUUGGCUGGAGACUUGAAAUUCAGUCUAUGUGUGGGCCGAAGUAACUAGAUGUCGUCUAGAACUGAUACUCGAUAUGAGGCGGUGCCCAAUGUGCAAUGAUGCUCAACUAGAAGUAGCACAUGUUGCGAGGCUGCUUGGCUGCUUGGCUUAUGUUGCAUUGUUUGGCUCGGCUUAUGGAGUUGAAGGUGAGGGAGUCCCUUUUAUAGAAUAAGGGCUCGCUCCUCAAUACAUAAGUGAUGGGUUAGGAGCAAGGUCUUAAAUGCCGAUAAUAUCGGCGAAAUAUCGCCAAUAUUAUCCGUUUUUCACGUUACCGAUAUUUUAAUAUGUAUCUAAUUAGUUUUCGUCAAAAUAUCACGAUAUUAUUGAUAAUAUGGAUAAUAUCAUGAUAUUAUCGAUAAUAUCGCGAUAUUAUCAAUAUUAUCGAUAAUAUCGCUCUCUCCGUCGUCGGAACGGCAGCCGAGCUCCGUCGUCGCAGCUGCCAAGAUCUGCGCCUCUCUCUGCCAAGAUCUGCGCCUCUCACAGGUGGUGAUGGUGCUCGUCGGAGUGUGCGCCACUGGGGUGGAGGUCACGGUGGGGUGGGUGUGGUGUGUCUCCCUUCCGCUCGCUCGCUCCAUGUCUGUUCUUUCUAUGGUGGUGAACGAAGGGCAGUGCAGCAGAUCAAACUAAUUUGAGCUUCACACUAACACGGAGAGAGAGAUCCGAAACUUACCUAACCGGAAAAUCAAAGAAGACUCGCCGGAAAGUUAUAGGCUCUGCCAUUCUCGUAGAGGCGGGAGAGAGAAGAUUGAUGAUGUGUUCCUCGAUCUGCUCGAGUCGAGCAGAUGGUGCUGCUGCGUGUGUGUGUGUGGUCACGGCAAGAGAGAGAGAGAGGUAAGAGGGUUUCGAGAGAGAGACAGUGCAGAGAAGAGAGAGAGAUAGUCGAAGUGAGUGAGAAGGAAAUGGGGUCUCGGGGUAGGGGAGAGACCCACGUAGUGGGUUCUUUGUAUUUUAAAAAGUUGUGGUCAUGUUUUAAUUAUGAAAACCCACGUAGUGGGUUCUUUAUAUUUUAAAAAGUUGUCCAAGUUUGAGAUCCACCCACACUACGUGGGUGUUUUAUAAUUUUAAAAGUUUGAGAUAUAUUUUAUAUAUAUAUAAAGGUUAUAUAAAUAUAAAUUAUGAAUUAUUUAGUUGAAAGGCAGGAGAAAACAAAAGCAAAAAAGGAAAAGGAAAAGAAAAUAAGAAAGAAAAAAAACACCAAGGGGAUUCAAAUCCCUCCCUUUGUCAACCAUACACCUAGACCUUAUCCAACUCGCUAUAGAUGUGUUUGUAAUUACAUAUUCAGCCUGUAAUAUUUAUAUGGUUGUUAAGAUAUCUGCAAGGCUUGCAAGCUAAUAUUUAUUAUCUAGGAAAAUUUUCUAUAUUUAAAAAAACACCAAGGGGAUUCGAACACCUCCCAUUUUACUCCUUCAACACCUUGACCACCAUAUCACUUAUGUUUUUGUGAAAAUAUGCUAAAAUACACUUACUCUACACAUAGAGAUGACGAAGAUAGUGAAAAUUUUGAACCUCAUAGGAACUCUAUGUGGUACUAAGUCACUCAUGUAUCUUACCAUGCAAAGUAUAAAGUGUAAAAUAUUGUACUAAUUCAUUAUAUAUAAAUGAUUAUGGUGUGUUUAAACUUCUUUCAUUAAUUACUACAUAUUUUCUACACUCACAAUGUUUGCCAGCUCGCUAUAUAAUCAACUUAAAUCAGUUAAAUCCAUCAUGCAAUGCAUUUCCUUCCAAUUUUUUGUGAUAAACUAAUAGAUAAUUGACUAAAUAAACAUCCUGCAAAGUUUCAAUAAAAAUUUCCAAGUUUUUCUUACAAUUUCCGUGGUUUCCAUACUAUUUUUAUCGAUAUCGAUAAUAUCCCGAUAUUUUCAUCGAUAUUUCCGUGUUUUUGGACUACCGAUAUUUCCGAUAUCAUCGAUAUUUAAUACCUUGGUUAGGAGUGAUGCUUGCGGCGAGGCGGUUGCUCAGCUGGCGGCGAUACUCUCUAAUGGAGGUGAGGAGGUCCCUUUUAUAAAAUAAGGGUUCACUCCUCAAUACAUAAGUGAGGGGUUAAGAGUCUCUCUCUAAUGAAGGUGAGGGAGUCUCUUUUAUAAAAUAAGGGUUCGCUCCUCAAUACAUGAAUAAUGAGUGCUCUCUAAUGAAAGUGAGGGAGUCCCUUUUAUAGAAUAAAGGUUCGCUUCUCAGUACAUAAAUAAUGGGCUAAGUCCCCCAAGUAUUUUUCAUGAGGCCCAGUUGUGGAAGCCCAAUAUAUGGUACAUAGUGCAGUACCCCAAGUCUUCAGUCAAUAGAGGCUGUUGGCUGGAGAUUUCAAAUUCAAUCCAUGUACGGGCCGAAGCGGCAGUUGUUCGGAGACGGUCUUUGUAUACCAUGCACUGAAGCUUUGUAGGUGAAGCUUUUAAAGUGAAGCUUUGAAGCUGGAGCUCUGUAACUGAAGCUUUCGAAGUUGAUUGACAUGAGUGAUGCUCAUGGAUGUUGACAUGAGUGAUGCUCAUGGAUGUUGACAUGAGUGAUGCUUAUGAAUGUUCACAUGACUGAUGGUCAUGAAUGUUUAUGUAUGAUUGACAUGACUGAUGGUCAUGAAUGUUUAUGUAUGAUUGACAUGAGUGAUGCUCAUGAAUGUUUAUGUAUGAUUGACAUGAGUGAUGCUCAUGAAUGUUUAGGUAUGACUGAGUGAUGCUCAUGUAUAAUUUUGGAGUACUGGACGUACUUUUGAUCACCUAAUGGGUGAUAAUAGCGGUAGGUUGCCGAAUAAUUUUGGAGUACUGGACGUACUUUUGAUCACUAGACGUACUUUUGAUCACCUGGUUGGUGAUAAUAGCGGCAGGGUGCUGAAUAAUUUUGGAGUACUAGACGGACUUUUGAUCACCUAGUGGUGAUAAUAGCGGCAGCCUGCCAAAUAAAUUUGGAGUACUAGACGUACUUUUGAUCACCUAGUUGGUGAUAAUAGCGGCAAGGUGCCGAAUAAUUUUGGAGUACUAGACGUACUUUUGAUCACCUAGUGGGUGAUAAUAGCGGCAGGUUGCUGAAUAAUUUUGGAAUGCCGGACGUACUUUUGAUCACCUGGUUGGUAAUGAUUGCGGCAGGCUGCCGAAUAAUUUUUUCUAGUACUGGACGUACUUUUGAUCACAUGGCUGGUGAUAAUAGAGGGCCUGGCUCUUUUUGGGCAUAUGGGUCUUCGCCCUCCACAUAACAUUCCAGCCCAUUAUUUUGGGCUUGCCGUUUUUUUUUAUUACCCUCUGAUGGGGUUAUACAGAUGUCUCCGAAAGAUAAGAAAAAUAAAUCACAUCAUUCAAAAAUAAAUAUGACCCUCUGCUCAAUGGGUCACGCCCAUAAUUCCCUUUUCUACAUGCCAUCACCACCGUAAUUAUGUCUGCUUCUUUUUAUCUUCUUUUGCUUUCUGCUUUUGCUUUAUGCUUUUGCUUUCUGUUUUUCUUUCUGCUUUCUGCUUGGGACAUGUUGCUUGAUGACAUGAUUAAGGGCAAUAUUCCUUUCUCUAAAGUGACAGCUGCUUGGACAGCCUUUUCGACACCACCCACUUGCUUUUCUUGAUCUCUUCGCUUCUUCUCUGUUUUUCUGCUGAGAAUCACUGGGUUGAGAUUCCAAGUUCGAGGGAUCCGAGUCGGGAGCCGACUGUGAUCUUCAAUAACUUCAUUGGCAUGCACGAGAGCGAACAAGAAUUCUCCAUGGCUGUGCCUAUCCAAGCUUCUGCACCACAGCAAAUGGUCCUCUAACAACCUUAACAAUCAUAACAAAAUACCUGAUGGGUCCUCUCGCCUACCUGUGUCGUUUAGAGCCAUGAACACAGCUUGCGGGGGCUUGGCGUGGAGGAAGAUAGGCGUAUAUUUGGUGACGUUCAAAGCGACGCUGAGUUAGCACUGCUCUGUGAAACUUAAACCGCUGCAUGCUGCUUUGAUCUUGGUCUUUGCCGGUGCGCAGAUUUUCAACCAGCUCUCUAUGAAGUCACUAGCAGUGGACCCAUCAUUGGGCAAAUAUGUAGUUAGAAUUUCGAGGGCCCACCAGUCAACGGUGAACUCAUGGCCCUCCCCGCGUACCACCUCGGGGGACACGUACUCUUCCAUUCCGACAAACGAGUUCGCGCGUUUGUCGUCCGAGAAACUCAGCUUCCGUCGACUCAUCGGGCUGACUUGGCCUUCUUCAACCCCUUCCUGCUACCGCCGUUCUUGUGAUUGUCGUUUAUAAUCGUGAUCCAACAUGUCAAGUUCCGCUGGUGUUUGCGAUGAAUCUUUGGGAUGUCGUUUUCCAGAAUGGAGUCGUUGGGCUUAGCGGUCAUGUGCUUAAGGCUAAUCGAGAGGUCGAAGUCUGUGAAUGUCACGUGGCCGGAUUACUGGAUGAGGACUGUAGUUCACAUCAAUGGCAUUUCUCCGCUCAGAAUCUCCAACAUGAGUGUUGGAUCUUGAUGUGCUUUUAGCGGUGGCGGUGGUUUUGGAUGAUGAGGUUUGGGAAUUGACGACAGAGAUGGCUGAGUUAGCUCGGUAAGAAAGGUACCCCAUAAGAGGAAAAUCGAGAUUUCAACUUUGUGUGUUCUCAGAACGCGGUUCAGAACCGUUAUGGGAUGGACCAAAAAGUCUUUUUCUUUUGAAAUACAGAGAGAGAGAUCUGGUUUUGAUGCAUGCUGAGAGAUCUUGAUCUUCAGAAAAGGAAAAAGAAUGAAGACUUUAAAAAAGAAAAAAGAGAAUCUUUGGGGCUCUUUUAUGAGCAGAGACCGAGAGAGAGAAAGAGAGAGGAGAUGACAUGGUGGCUUUGUGUUUGUGGGGGUUUUCUGGAAAAGCCCAAGGAGGUUUCGAGUUUCUGUAGAUUCAAGGUGGAGUGUGGUGAGGUCUCACGGUGGUGAGAUGAAAAAAUGAAAGAGAACCGAUAUAGCUUUUUGUGUCGAUUCCCACAGACGGCGCCAAAUGUUGAUGCACAAAACCGGAGGGUUCUUGGAACAACGUAAAUCCGACCGUGAAUCUGUAAAAAAGUAAAGAACACAAGAUGCAUCGUGGUUCACCCCAAUGUUUGGGUUACGUCCACACUGAUGUUGAUAUUGUUUCACUUUGAAUGAUGAAUAUACAAGGAGACUAAAGGCAGUGUGCUCUCUUCCCAUGGCCCAAGACUUGGCCUCAAUCUUGGCCCUCCCUUAAUGAGGAGAAUGAUGGGUCCUUUUAUAGAAUAAGGGCUUCUUACUUAUUACAUAUUUGCCCCUUCAUUUAUUACAUAAUUACAUUUGAGUCCCCGAGUAUUUAUACGAGGUCUAAAUACGGAGGCCUUAAGUAUGGUACAAACAGGGUUCAACAUCCUUUGGCUAUUUGUACUAUAUAUGGGUCCAUGUUUUCACAUUCUUACUUAAUUGUAAUGGAAUUGGCUCUCCAUUUUGCCAAUAAUGUUUCUUUUCGUUGACAAACAAAAGAACGCGACUCAAUAUAUAGUAGCUACUGUAAAACCAAAUUUUUCAUUGAUUAUCAUCAAUUUGUGAUCUAAUAAUUCUCAUGUGCAUGCACAUGCAUAGUUUCAAAGUUUUUCAUUUCUUUGGAUAUCUAUUGCCUCUUCAGAGGCAUUACACUAUUUCUUCUAUAGUUUAGAGAAUGCGGAUCAUAACCCCUUUUUAACUGUUAUAGAGCUUGAAUUUUUAAUCUCCACUUCUGGAGUUUGAGUUACUAGAACCUAUACAUCUAUCAUGCUUCAAGCAUGAAACAUACUAAAAAUUAUAUAGAAAUAGACGAAAGCAAGGAUGGAGCUAAUGUAGGCCUAGGGGCGGAUGCCCCCACUCAUUUAAAAAAAUGUAUAAUUGCGUUCCAAUUCUCAAUAAUCAGCCCUAAAUAAACUACAAUUAAAAAAAUUGGUAGGCAACUAAACUAGUCUACCACUUUGGAUCCCAAAUGCCCUACCUGAUGACAAUUUAAUUAACAAUUAAUUUAAUUGUGCCUCCCCGUUUUUGUAACCCUAGGUAUUUAAUCCACACAAAACUCAUCCCACCACGUACGGCAAAGCAAUUCCAGUCCUUAACUUCUCCAGAUUUUUCCUCCCCUUUCAUUCAACCAAAACUCAAUUGAAUUUGGAGUGUUAUAGACAGUUGGAGUUCAAGUAAUCAAUUAUCAAAAUUCAACACAAGAAUUUUACUCCACAAGGUAUUUUAUACGACUUUACUUCAUUAAUUUGUUUUUGGCAUUUCAAUUUAGAAUUUAGCUUUCUAAUUUAGAGAUCAAUAGAUGAAUGAUAACAUGAUUAUGUUUAUAUAAAGAGAUAUUUAAUGGUAUUGGUAAUGAUAUUGUUAUGCAACACUUUCAAAACAUGAAAACAAUUCAAGGAAUAAUGUAAUAUGUGUUGCGAGUUAUAUAUUAGUUAAAAUAUAAAUAGUAGUUUAUUGUCCCACAUUGGUGAAGUACAUAUGUAAUACCAAUUGUAACUCCUAUACUCCACUUUGGAGAUUAAUGAAUAUAUAAGAAAUUCCCAAAUAUUGUCAUAUAUAUUUUUGGUAUUUACCAUAUUUAGUUUAAUAUGGCAUCAGAGCAGUUCGCUCUUGGUGACCUGUGUGCUUUAAUUUUGUGCCCACAUUUUUUGUGAUUUCCUUCGUGAAAAAAAAAAAAAAAAGUGAAUAAUGGCGCGCUACAAUACAGAGCGUGAACAGUGGUCUGCUUUGUGAACAGUGGUCCUUUACAAUGCCGUAAACAGUGAUUGCUACAGUGCCGUGAAUAGUGCUCUGCUACAGUAUCUGGUAAAUUAUUUUCAUUCCGCUGCGUAUCUUUUGUGCCUUUAUUGUUCAUGAUUUUUGUUCAAUGGCUCAAUAUAAUCAUAGUGUUAUUAUGCAUCUUGGUGGAACAAAUAAAUGGAUAAUAGAUACUAAGACCACUGAUCAUGUGACUAGUGACCCUAGAGUGUUUGAUGAGUUAUGUGACUAUGUUCGUGAUCCGUAUAUUACUAGUGCAAAUGGAGCAAAUUCCCCUGUGAAGGGUGAAGGCACUAUCUCUCUUACUCUAACCUUAUCACUGGUCUGUGUUUUAUUUGUUCCUGAUGUUAAGUGCAAUCUUUUGUCGGUAGGAAAACUUCUUGAUACCUUAUAUUGUUCUGCUCACUUUUACCCUACGUAUUUUUAUUUUCAAGAUAUUCAAACUCAGAAGAUAAUUGGUCAUGGUAAAAGAAUAGGGGGUUUGUACAUCUUAACUAUAGAGGAUACUGUUGUUUCUGGUUCAAAUAAUCAUCAAGUUUUAAGUGCUAAAGUGGAUGACAGACAUCAAAUUUGGUUGUGGCAUCGAUAAUUAGGACAUCCAUCAUUAAGUUAUAUGAAACAUCUAUUUCUUUCUUUGUUUCACACUUGUAGUGAUUCAGAAUUCAAGUGUGAAACAUGUGUCAUGGCUAAGAGUCAUCGUGCUUCAUUUCCUGUAAGUGAUUCUAAAGCUACUUUGCCAUUUGAUUUGAUACAUUCUGAUGUGUGGGGUCCGGCGAAAGUUACUUCUAAUGGAUUCCGUUGGUUUGUUACUUUUAUUGAUGAUUGUACUCGGUUAACUUGGGUGUUCUUGAUGAAGAAUAAGAGUGAUGUUCCGUUACUUCUUCAAGAAUUUUGUACAAUGGUGUCUACUCAGUGUCAGACCAAAGUUAAGGUCUUCAGGUCUGAUAACGGAGGAGAAUAUGUGAAUCACACUUGGCAUGUUUUUUUCGUGAUCAUGGUAUUAUUCACCAAACGACUACUCCGUUUACACCCCAACAAAAUGGUGUGUCCGAACGGAAGAAUCGUCAAAUAAUAGAGGUUGCUCGCUUCUUGAUGUUGGAUAAAUGUGUUCCUAAUCAUUUGUGGGGUCAUGCUGUUUUGGCUGCUGUGUAUUUGAUCAAUCAUGUUCCAAGUAGGGUUCUUGAGUUUCAGACACCGUUCGAUAUGCUACAAAAACAUGUUUCUCUUGUUUCUGUAUCAAAGCUUCCUCCGAAAGUGUUUAAGUGUAUUGCGUAUGUGCAUGUCUACUCUCAUCAGCGGAGUAAACUUGAUGCAUGUGUUCUCCGGUGUGUCUUUAUUGGAUAUGCUAACAAUCAAAAAGGCUAUAAGUGUUAUCAUCCUCCGACUCAAAAAACUUAUAUUACCAUGGAUGUCACCUUCCAUAAGGAAGUUUCAUAUUUUGUGAAGCCUUUUUCCACCUAUCCAUUUCAGUGGGAGAGGGGGAGUGAAGUGCAGAUUCGAAGAGAUGGUAUGGAUGAUGUGUUACAUGCAGAGUUGGGAACAUAACCUAUUAUGUUGCGUGAUACUGAUCAGUCGGCUACAGAUAGUGAUCGGUCACCUGUUAUUCCUGGAACUAUUUCUACUAACGACAAAUCAGAUGUGCCCAGCGAGUUGCCUAUUAGUAUGUCUGACGAAUUACCUUCUGAUGAUCGGUUGCAUGCUGCUGAUAUGUCUGACGAAUUACCUUCUGAUGAUCGGUUGCCUGCUGCUGAUAUGUCUAACGAGUUGCCUAAUGAUGGUUCAUUCAGUGAUGAUUCUUCUAACAGUUUGGUACAAGAUGGUGGCAUACAUGAGGUAAAUUCUGACGAUUCUUCUACUUAUCAGUUGCCUCCACGAGCUAAUCGUGAAAAACCUAAAGUACAAUAUGAGCCUGAUAUGCAUGCCAAAGCCAAAUAUCCUAUCAAUAAUUAUAUGGCUACUCAUCGUUUGUCCAAACCAUAUGCAUCUUACAUAUGUCAGCUAUCUAGUGUAUCAAUUCCAACAAAAUUGCAAGAUACUUUGUCUGACCCUAAGUGGGUUAAUGCCAUGGAAGUUGAGAUGGAAGCUUUGGAAAAGAAUUCUACUUGGGAUUUGGUUGCUUUACCAAACGGGAAAAAAGCCAUUGGAUGUAGAUGGGUGUUUAUUACUAAGCACAAAGCAGAUAGUUCUAUUGACCGGUAUAAAGCCAGAUUAGUUGGGGUUAUACUCAAACCUAUGGGGUGGACUAUCAGGAGACUUUUGCUCCUGUUGCCAAACUUAAUAAUGUGCGUGUUCUUCUGUCCUUAGCAGUAAACCAGGAUUGGCUUCUGUUGCAGUUUGAUGUUAAGAAUGCUUUCCUUUAUGGUGAUCUUAAAGAUGAAGUGUAUAUGGAUUUUCCACCUGGUAUUGGAACAUCUCUUGGAAAAUGUGUUGUAUGCAGGUUACGAAAGGCCUUGUAUGGUUUGAAACAAUCUCCUAUAGCAUGGUUUGGGAGGUUUACAAGUUCAAUGAAGAAGUUUGGAUAUAUCCAGAGUCAUUCAGAUCCUACUUUGUUUCUAAAGCGACAAAAUGGUAAGCUAACUGCAUUGAUUAUUUAUGUUGAUGACAUGAUAGUGACUGGUGAUAAUCAGAAGGAGAUACAACGCCUUCAAAAGUACCUAGCUAUUGAGUUUGAGAUGAAAAAAUUGGGUGAACUGAAGUAUUUUCUUGGAAUCGAGGUUACACGAUCCAAGCAUGGUAUUUUUCUGUCUCAACGGAAAUAUGUUCUUGAUUUAUUAGCUGAAACAAGUAUGUUAGAUUGCAAACCUGUUGAUACUCCGAUUGAGCAGAAUCAUCGUCUGGGCUUAUUUCUAGAUCAAGUUCCUACUCAUAAGGAACGGUAUAAGAGGCUUGUAGGGAGAUUAAUUUAUUUGUCUCACACUCGCCCUGACAUUGCUUAUGUAGUUAGUGUGGUAACUUAGUUUAUGCACUCACCUAGUGAAGCUUAUAUGGAUGCAGUAACCCGUAUUUUGAGAUACUUGAAAAUGGCUCUUGUCAGAGGCCUGGUUUUUUUCAAGAAUGGUCAUUUGAAUGUCGAAGGGUAUACAGAUGCAGAUUGGGCAGGUUCUAUCACUGAUCGGCGAUCUACAUCUGGAUACUUUACGUUUGUGGGUGGCAAUUUAGUUACUUGGAGAAGCAAGAAACAAAAAGUGGUGGCUAGGUCAAGUGCAGAAGCUGAGUUUCGUGGUAUGUCUCAUGGUGUAUGUGAGUUGUUGUGGUUGAAAAAAAUUGUUGAGAGAUCUUGGGUUUAAUAGUGUGUUUUCCAACUCGCUUGACAAGUUGGGCAUGCGUGACAUCUUUGCACCAACUUGAGGGGGAGUGUUGCAAGUUAUAUAUUAGUUAAAGUGUAAAUAGUAGUUUAUUAUCCCACAUUGGUGAAGUACAUAUGUAAUACCAAUUGUAACUCCUAUAUAUACUCCACUUUGAAGAUUAAUGAAUAUAUAAGAAAUUCCCAAAUAUUGUCAUAUAUAUUUUUGGUAUUUACCAUGUUUAGUUUAAUAUUGGUAUUUACCAUGUUUAGCUUAAUAAUAUGUUGUAUGAAAAACUUUAUAAAUUAAUGUAUUAGUGUUUUGUUCAAUAAAUUCUUGAGAUUUUUAAUUGUGACUUUAUUGUUUGAGGAUGCUCCCGCUCAUAUAAAUCUCUAACUUCAUCCUUGAAAGAGAGAAUUGAGAAGUAGAAAAGAGUUGAAUUUCAAAAUCAAUUGUGGUGUAUAAGAAUGGUACAAACGCUUCUUUAUAAGAAGUUUGCCAGAAACUGUAGCAAACUAUUUAUUUUACAGUCUUCAAAAUGAAUAUUGACUUUCCUAUGGAUGAACAGUGAGUAAUCCAAUUUUUAUUCCGAUGAAGAAUGAGAUUUUUGUCUUCUUUAAAUUUAGGACAUGUACGGGGCCAUCCAACCUUUACACCAAGUCACCUUUUUACGUCACUCUCAAAUAUUGUAGCGUUACUUUUUUAUUGCAAACUAUCAUCUGAUACAUUUACCUAAAAAAAACAGUUUUUAAGUAUGUCAUAUUUUAUAAAUAACCAUUAGCAGUUUAGGAAGAGUGACUCUUCAAAGAAUAACAUAUAACUUAUUUAUAAGACACGUUUUGAAGUAAGGGAGGUGUGGAAUCAGAAUGAUUCGAAAUUUAUCACAUUAAUAGGCAUGAUAAUAUACAAGAAAGAUAGUGAUCUCAGUGAUCUCAGUGCUUGUUGUCCAGGAUUAGGUUACAAGGAAAGUUCAGCAACACCUUUUUAAUUUAUAGCAAAAUCUGAAACCCGGAAUCACAUUAAUUUAAUACAUAAGAAGAAAAAUGAAACUAAUCAAGCUGAGCAUACCAAACUCCCUGGAUUUUGACAUCCUUUGGAGUCUUGGCUCCCAAGUCAGUGUCAGACGGCUGAAUGCUCUCAAACACCCCAAUCAACUCACCAUUCUCAGGCUUGCUCUUUGUCACACUCAGUGUGAUCUUCCCUGUUGAUGCUGCUGUAUUCUUGGUGUUCUCCUUUGCCAACUCCUCCUCGUCUCCUCUGCCACCUGCCGGCAACGCAACCGCAUUGUCGUAACCGGUAGAUCCUCCUCUUCCCUUGGGGUCCAAGAAAGAGGAUCCGCGGUAUGAUGGUACUAGAAACUCUCCUGUGAAGUUGUCAGGCUUGCCAGAGGCUACGAGCUGCUUGAUGGUAAAGAGGAAGGGCACGCGCUCACCUCCCGGGA
rnacentral:lncRNA from 1 species